rnacentral:lncRNA from 1 species
UAGAGAAUUGACUUACACUCGCCACAAGCUACAUCAGAGUCACAUCAGUACAUUACAUAAUCAUCAAGAGUAAGAGCAGGGUCCGACUAUGGACGAAAACAAACGAGAAAAUAAGAACGACGUCCAUCCUUGCUAUCCCAGGCUGCCGGCCUGGAACCCAUCCUAGAUCGAUGAAGAGGAAGAAGAAGAAGCAACUUCAAAUGAACAAUCAACGCGCUCGCGUCAAGUAACCUUUACCUGUACCUGCAACUGGUGUUGUAGUAAUCUGUGAGCCACAGGGGACUCAACAAUCUCAUUUCCAAAGGUAUCAGGACUAGCAAAGCUUAAUGGGUGAAGUAAGGUCAAGUGGCGAGGUUGCAGCAGCGGCUAAGCAUAUAUUUGGUGGCUAAACUUACGAGUACAAGAAUUAGAGGGGGAAGAUCUACGCAUAACGGACGUGACUACUGAUGAUCAAAUGAAUGAUCCUGAACACAUACCUACGUCAGACAUAACCCCACCGUGUCCUCGAUCGGAGAAAGAACUCACGAAAGAGACAGUCACGGUUACGCACACAGUUGGCAUAUUUUAGUUACGUUAACUUCGAGUUAUCUAGAACUAGUGUUAAACAAAGUUUCCACGUUGCCACAUAACCGCGGGCACGGCUUUCCGAAAGAUUUAACCCUGCAGGGGUGCUCCAACUAGUCCAUCACAAAUUACCACAAGCCGCAUAGAAAUCCUCAAUCACGAAGCUCGCGAUCUCGUCGGAUUCCCUAGUGGAAAACCUCAACUCUGAGAUUACCCAAAGCAUCACCGGA